UAAGCAUCCAAGCCUCUGGAUUUAGUGCUCUGUUGAAGGCCAAUGGAAACAAAGAUGAUUUGCCAGCCUGAUGCCUUUUCACCCUUUCAUCUCAUGAAGCUAUUUUACAACAUCAAAGCUGAAGAGAAAUAUUGAAAACACAUUUGCUGUCUUUGUUGUUUUUCAUCGUGUCAUUGUGUCAUCAUAUAUCUACAUCAAGUCCUUUACCUCCAUGAUGCUGGCAAGGAAAUUGAGGAUUUCCACCUGCUCAUCAUUCUGUGGAAUCACACGGAACACCUUCUGCCUGUAAGGGGAGAAAAAGAUUCAAUUUGAAACAGUUGAAAGCCUUUUGAUCAUGCAGAAGAAAUCACAGAUAUAAAACUUGAUGUCUGUUCUUACCCAUCAAAGGAAAGAUCCUGCAGGUGAGCAGAAACAGAUGCAGCACCUAUGAGAACCAAGAG